UACAGGGGGGGCAAGCGUUGUUCGGAUUCAUUGGGCGUAAAGGGUGCGUAGGUGGCGCCGUAAGUCAGGUGUGAAAUUUCGGAGCUUAACUCCGAAACUGCAUUUGAUACUGCGGUGCUUGAGGACUGGAGAGGAGACUGGAAUUCACGGUGUAGCAGUGAAAUGCGUAGAUAUCGUGAGGAAGACCAGUGGCGAAGGCGGGUCUCUGGACAGUUCCUGACACUGAGGCACGAAGGCCAGGGGAGCAAACGGG
rnacentral:rRNA from 1 species